CCUAAUCCAGUCCAAGAUGUUUGUGCAUUUUGUAUAAGUCUGAUCCAUUUUAUUAAUGAAUGCCUAACCGCAUCUCAAUUUUUUGAGUUUAUACAUGAGCAGAUCCAGUAAACUCAAACCCAACAAGCUUGUAGAUCAGAAAAUGAUCCAUACUCGAACACUUAUAACUCUGACUGGAGAAACCAUCCAAAUUUUUUCUGAAGACCAUAGUCACUGGUUGGCCCUACUGUACCU
rnacentral:lncRNA from 1 species